UUAAAAGAUUAUACCGUCAAAAGACGAGUCCAUUAUACUAACACCGUGCGUAUACAAAUCGUCAUCCCACUAAGUUCCUUCUAGCCACGGGGUGUUUGUAGGAGUUUUAAAGCUUGAAAAAACACACUCCUCCCGCGACAACAUGGUGAAAUUCGUAUUGAAACUCAAUCCAACUUGUAACACUUUAAGCCGCUUAUAAAAGAACUCUUAAUCCCGAGUUUGAGUUGAUUUGGUCGAAAGCAAGCAGCUUAAAGUAGACCAGAAGUAGAGGGAAAAAAGACCAGUGGCGUAACCAGCCCUUUCUUACGAGGGGAGAGGACGAAAUAUAUUUUCACCCACUCUUUAAAAAUGUAACGUUACAGCUACAAAAAUGGUUUUCAUGUGCCACGUCACAGGAAUCGGG